GCCAGUAGCCAUAUCACCCUGCAGCUCUCAACUGGUUACCCACUGAAGCUCAGCAGGGUUGAGCCUGGUCAGUACCUGGAUGAGAGACCUUCUGGGAAAAGCUAAGGAAGUUGCUGCAGGAA
rnacentral:rRNA from 1 species